UUAAAAAAGGGAACUCGGCAAUCACAGACCCCGACUGUUUAACAAAAACAUAACCUUUAGUCAAUAAACCAAUAUUAAAGGCAACGCCUGCCCAGUGAACAAUUUAACGGCCGCGGUACCCUAACCGUGCAAAGGUAGCACAAUCACUUGUCUAUUAAUUGUAGACCUGUAUGAAAGGCAAAACGAGGGCCUAUCUGUCUCUUGUAGUAAAUCAAUUAAACUGAUCUCCCAGUCCAAAAGCUGGGAUGCCAACAUAAGACCAGAAGACCCUGUGAAGCUUAAACUAAACUAUUAAAUCCUAUAAUAGCUCCUUUCGGUUGGGGCGACCCUGGAAAAAAAAAGAACUUCCAAACAUACUGACCUUACAGUCACCUACCCUAGGCCAACAAGCCUAACAACGACCCAGCACAGCUGAUAAUAACCAAGUCUCCGGG
rnacentral:rRNA from 1 species